rnacentral:snRNA from 1 species
GCUUUUUUUCGAAAAGCCUUCCUC